rnacentral:misc_RNA from 1 species
GAUGAAGGAACGUAGCGAAAUGCGAUACUUGGUGUGAAUUGCAGAAUCCCGUGAACCAUCGAGUCUUUGAACGCAAGUUGCGCCCGAAGCCAUCAGGUUGAGGGCACGUCUGCCUGGGCGUCACAUAUCGUUGCCCAAUGCCUAUUGCAGUGCAAUAGGAAUUUCUAGGGCGAAUGAUGGCUUCCCGUGAGCGUUGUUGCCUCGCGGUUGGUUGAAAAUCGAGUCCUUGGUAGGGUGUGCCAUGGUAGAUGGUGGUCGAGUUAGAACGAUACCGAUCAUGUGCAUGCUCCCCAAAAUAUGGCCUCUAUGACCCACACGCGUCUUUUGACGCUCAUGACGAGACCUCAGGUCAGGCGGGGCUACCCGCUGAAUUUAAGCAUAUCAAUAAGCGGAGGA